rnacentral:rRNA from 1 species
GACGAACGCUAGCGGCGCGCCUUACGCAUGCAAGUCGAGCGGUCCAGCCGACUUCGGUCGGCUAAGGAUAGCGGCGGACGGCUGAGUAACACGUAGGUAACCUGUCCGGAAGUGGGGAAUAACUUGCCGAAAGGCGAGCUAAUACCGCAUGUGCUCUCGGAGUGAAAGUCUUCGAGAGGAAAGCAGCAAUGCGCUUUCGGAGGGGCCUGCGCCCUAUCAGGUAGUUGGUGGGGUAACGGCCUACCAAGCCGAUGACGGGUAGCUGGUCUGAGAGGAUGAUCAGCCAGACG